AGGAUGCAGUUCUUGUGAUGUGUUUUAUACCCUUUUAUUUUGUGGCUCAGUGUUUGAGCUUGUAGCAAGCCUAUUCUAUACCAUUGUCGUAGCUUUGUGGCUAUAUCCUGCGUGA